GGAAAACAAACAUUGUUUUGAUUGUAAGCUCAAUGAUAUAAUGUGGUUUGUUUUGGUUAAUAUAAGACUGUGAUUGGAGAUUUUCUUACUAAAAAUGUACUGUUGUUGUGUACCGGGAUGUUCACAUCCAACGUUAUCUGUCAAACUUGGCAUUCCUUUCCACAAUUUUCCAAAAGAUCGGGAACAAAGACGACGGUGGCUUGUCAACAUAAGAAAUCAGAACUUUCCUGUCAACAUGAGUGCACAAAAACUAAAGAACUAUCACGUAUGUGGCAAACAUUUUAAACCAAGUGACUACGAAUGUCAAACAAAGCAUUUAGUGGCACCUUAUCUAGGCUAUUUAAGAAAAGAAAUAUUUUGAAAAAGACAGCUGUUCCUACUCAAUAUUCUUUCGAAGAAUGUCAAACAAGUAAAGGUAAACCAAAGUCUACUUCUGCAACAAGUAGGCUUACAUGUACUAUUACUAGUAAAUGUGCCUAUGAGUCAACACCUCAAAUUCAAUAUGUGAGAAGUGCCUAUUUAAAGAGGGAAAAAUUAAGAAAAUGAACAGAAGAAAAAACUGUUGUAGAUCCAGAACAGAGUAAGCCAUUACCAUUACCCCCAGUUUCAAAACUCCUCAGUGAUCCACCCAAAAGCAGUCCAUUCUCCAGCCCUGUAGCCAGUCAUUCAUCUCCUUUGUGGCAGCCCACUUUUGAAACAUCUUCAGAUUCAGAGUUUGUUGAGUCCGAAAGAGAAAUUUUUUCUGACCCGACAGAGAAGAGUAAGGUGAUGGAACUUUUUAAGAGAUGUCAACUCUGUGGUGAAGGAAUUAUAAGAGCAGUUCCAUUCUAUAAAGGCGCCCAGAUAGUGGUAGGCUGGCAAUGUGUCAAGGGUCAUAGUGGCAGUUGGUAUGGGGGACCUCAAGUGAGAAGGAUGCCAUUAAUUAAUCUGAUUUUAUCAGCUGGUAUUCUUUUCAGUGGUAAUACAUUCAGUGGUAUAUCAAGAUAUACUGCAUCAAUUGAUUUAAAAUUCUUCAAACCCUUAACCUAUAAUACAUUGCAAAAUACCUAUCUGUUACCAGUAGUAGACCGAGUAUAAUACACAAGACAACAAAAUGGAAUUUUG